rnacentral:rRNA from 1 species
AGAUUGAACGCUGGCGGCAUGCCUUACACAUGCAAGUCGAACGGUAGAGUAGCAAUACUCGAGAGUGGCGAACGGGUGAGUAAUAUAUCGGAACGUGCCCAGUCGUGGGGGAUAACGUAGAGAAAUUUACGCUAAUACCGCAUACGAUCUAAGGAUGAAAGCGGGGGAUUCGCAAGAACCUCGCGCGAUUGGAGCGGCUGAUAUCAGAUUAGGUUGUUGGUGAGGUAAAAAGCUCACCAAGCCGACGAUCUGUAGCUGGUUUGAGAGAACGACCAGCCACACUGGGACUGAGACACGGCCCAGACUCCUACGGGAGGCAGCAGUGGGGAAUUUUGGACAAUGGGCGAAAGCCUGAUCCAGCAAUGCCGCGUGCAGGAGAAGGCCUUCGGUGUAAACUGCUUUUGUACGGAACGAAACGGUCCUUUCUAAUAAAGGGCUAAUGACGGUACCGUAAGAAUAAGCUACGGCUAACUACGUGCCAGCAGCCGC